rnacentral:rRNA from 1 species
UAAAGAAUUUCGGUAUGGGAUGGGGAUGCGUUCCAUUAGUUAGUUGGCGGGGUAACGGCCCACCAAGACAACGAUGGAUAGGGGUUCUGAGAGGAAGGUCCCCCACAUUGGAACUGAGACACGGUCCAAACUCCUACGGGAGGCAGCAGUGAGGAAUAUUGGUCAAUGGACGAGAGUCUGAACCAGCCAAGUAGCGUGAAGGAUGACUGCCCUAUGGGUUGUAAACUUCUUUUAUAUGGGAAUAAAAUGUUCCACGUGUGGGAUUUUGUAUGUACCAUAUGAAUAAGGAUCGGCUAACUCCGUGCCAGCAGCCGCGGUAAUACGGAGGAUCCGAGCGUUAUCCGGAUUUAUUGGGUUUAAAGGGAGCGUAGGUGGAUUGUUAAGUCAGUUGUGAAAGUUUGCGGCUCAACCGUAAAAUUGCAGUUGAAACUGGCAGUCUUGAGUACAGUAGAGGUGGGCGGAAUUCGUGGUGUAGCGGUGAAAUGCUUAGAUAUCACGAAGAACUCCGAUUGCGAAGGCAGCUCACUGGACUGCAACUGACACUGAGGCUCGAAAGUGUGGGUAUCAAACAGGAUUAGAUACCCUGGUAGUCCACACAGUAAACGAUGAAUACUCGCUGUUUGCGAUAUAC